rnacentral:lncRNA from 1 species
AGUCUUAAUGUGAUGGUGUUUGGAAGUGGAGCCUUUGGGAGGUAAAUAGGUUUAGAUGAAGUCGUGAAGGGUAGGGCCUCCAUGUGGCAAUAGUGCCUUUAUAGGCAGAGAUCAGAGAGCUUUCUGUCUCUCUCACUCUCUGCCUUCCAUCUUAUUUACCCUUCCACCAAGUGAGAAUAUAGUCAGGAGAUGGCUGGUGGCUGCCUACCAACCAAGAAGAUGGCCAUCGCAAGACAUUGAAUCUGCCAGCACCCUGGUCUUGGACUUCUCAGCCACCAGAACUGUGGGCAAUAAGUAUUUGCUGUGUAAGCCAUCUGGGGUGUUUAUAUAGCAGUACAGACUGCUAUAGAAAGACACAUGCCUUGCCUUUAAAAAAUUAAAAGCCUAAUUUAUUGAACUAUAAUUUACAUAUAAUAAGGUAGCUGGGUGUAUGAAUGAAUCUUGACAAAUGUGCAUAUCUGUGUAACCAUCCCAUUCAGGCCACUGAACAUUUCUGUCACCUCCAAAAUUCCCUUGUGCCCCUUUGUUGUCAAGUCUCCUCCUCCCACCUCCACUGCAUUUCCAGGAAACUAGAAAUCUGCUUGCUGUUGCUAUAGAUUAAUUUUGUUCAUUCUGUGAUCUCACACAAAUGAAUCAUAAAGUAGGUGGGCCUUUUGUGUUUGGCUUUUUUACUCAGAAUGAUGUUUUGGUAUAUUAAUGUAAAGGGGUCAGUAGUUACUUCCUUUCUACUUUGUAGAAGCUUUCAAUUUAUAAAUAUGCCACAAUUUGUUUAUCUGCUCACCUCUUGAUGGACAGAUAUUGGCACAUUUCAAGUUUUUGGCUAAUAUGAAUAGGUGUGCUGUGAGUAAUCAUAUACAAAACAUUUCUCAUGAGUAAUAACCUACAAUGGAUAUGCUGGGUUGUAAGCUAAGUAUACACAUUUCUCUGUCCCUUUCCCCUUCCAGAUCACUUGUGGAUUUUUUAUUUCUUCAUGUAACUGCCAAAUUUCACUGUCUACCUUCUGAAUUAGUAUUGUUAGAGGGAUACACGUACAGAAUUGUAAUAAAUUCCUGGCAAUCCAACUGAAUUCCAAGUGUUGUAGAUGAGGACCUGCUUCAUUUAUACUUGCUCCCCCAUCUUCCUAUGGUGGGUAGGUACAAUUCUUGGUUAAAUUAUUAUUCAGCAUUUGUAUCCUUGUAUCACAUGAGUAUUUCAUGAGUAUUUCAUGGUGUUUACAUCUGCGAUGUAAUGGUGUUAUACAACUGAAUUUACUUUUCUGUAUACUGUUGUUCCUUGUAGUAUAUCAAUAACUGCUUCAUUUUAUUGUUUUCUUUAAAAAGUCUAUUACCAUUUCUUCCUCAAACUUUCAACAUGAUCAUAUAUGUUAGAUAAUACAUAUAUUCCUUUUUCUUUUUUUGUAAUGUACUAUUUGGAACCUUCUGUUCCUCCACAUUAAUCUGGACUUUUGGGUUCAAGCUGACUUCCCAGUUUUGUCUUUUUCCUUUCUUCCCACUUUGGAUUUAACCUUUGAUUCAUUGUUAUGUUGCUUUAUCCUCCUUCUUCUGAACAGGAUUUCUUUCUCUCCUGACCCAUUACACAUACCACGUCAAUUUAUUAUCACUCAGUUAACCUGCAAGUACUGAAAUAAACACAAAUCCUCUUUUCUUAAAUUUUCAAACCGCAAGUAACAAUGGAGGAAGACAGAGUAAAAAGGCUGAAGGGUUUUAAUCCUGAGGGUGGUAUGACAUGAUUUAUGUGUUUUUUUUUAAGGUUUGUUUAUUUGAGAGAGAGAGAGCACACGUGCAUGAGUGGGGGGAGGGACAGAGGAAGAGGGAGAGGGAGAAGAUCUCACACAGACUCUCUGCUGAGUGGGGAGCCCACUGUGAGCCUCGAUCCAAUGACCUUGAGAUCAUGACCUAAACCAAAAUCAAGACUCUGACACUUAACUGACUGAGCUACCCUGGUGCCCCUAGGAUUUAUGUUUUAAACCAUCAAUGGUUGCAGAGGGGAAAAUGAGGGGGCAGCUGUGGACACAUUUAUUAUCACAGUCCAGUCAUGAGAUGAUGGUGUCCAUUUGGAGUUGGGUCAUAGUAAUGGGGAUGGAGAAAAUUGGAUAUAUUCACAAGAUAUUAAAGAAGCAGCAUGCAUAAGCCUUGGCAAUUGGCUGGUGAUAGGAGGUCAUGUUGGAGAGGUCAAGGAUGGCUCCAGGGAUUCUGACUAGCUGGAUGAUAGUACCAUUUACUGAGAUGUGGAAUAUUGCAGGUUAUGGGGAAGGGGGAGAAAGAGGCAAAGAAUGAAGGAUCCAUUUACAAGUGACAGUGAUGUGACCUACUGUCUGCCAGCCAUUAUUUGUGUAUAUUUUCUAAAGGUGCUGAACUUUUUGAUGCAGGGGGUAACAGCUAAAAGUAGACUGAUCCUAACUGAAGCACGAUGGAAAGGCCUGGUGUUCUGUCUGCUUGGCCACUAUGGGUGACACUCAGUUAAACCCCACUAUUUAAAAAAAAAACCCCACUAUUUUUCAAGGACCAAAAUGCUAAUAUAUGGUCGAUUGUCUUAAUUAGUUGCUUCUGCUUAUUCUCUGGGGUACCAUUCACAUUGGAUUCUUUUCUUCAUACUGUCUCCUUACAAGUAGAAAAGAUCAGGCUAUUUAGCAAGCAGAUACGGUUGGAAACUAAGUGGAGUUAUUCCAAGAAUAAGAUGGAAAACAAAAUGUGUAAGAGUACAGAGCUCGAAUUGAAAAAAACCCUCCAGAGAAGAAUGCAAUAAGCCAACUUAAUGAGCCAAACAAUUUCAAUAGGAAAUUAUUGGGAAAAGAAUUUUUUUGAAGACAUGUAAGGAUAUUUCACCUUCACAGAGCACAGUGACAAAAAAGGCUGCUGGGGGGAUAAAAAGGUGCAGACCUAUUCAACAAGAAGAAAGAAAGGGUUAUGAAAAAUAGUACUGUCGGGGUCUCUAAAUCUCUCACAGUUAGAGUGAAACAGGAUCAAUGAUUCUUAGCCUUAUGUGCCUGAGUCACGCAAUCUUAUAGCAUUACACACAUACACACACACACACACACUAAGUUAUAGCAUGUGACUUGUGCCACAGGGAAACAGAAGGACCAUGAAUGAGAAUUUAGCAUUGAUCACCGAGGCAUGAUUUGUGUCAUUAUAGAAACAGAACCACAUCACAAAAUGAGCCAGUUCCCCUGCUGAACCCUCAUUAUCAAGGGAAGAUUGUAAAAAUAACAUUUUCUUCCUUCUAAAUCGUGUGCAAACUAAAUCACACAUUUACUAAUAAAUUCAGACUGCUUUAGUGUCUGAUAAAUUUAUAAGGAGUAAGGAGCAAUCUUGAAAGAUAAAUCUAUCUCCCCUGAAUUUAUGCUUCGCACACACAUUUCUUUGCUAUUAUUUGUUUUACUAUUAUAUUAUUAUUGAAACAUAUAUUCCCUUCCUAUUCCAUU